rnacentral:rRNA from 1 species
UACAGAGGUCUCAAGCGUUUGUUCGGAUUCAUUGGGCGUAAAGGGCGCGUAGGCGGUCAGCACAAGUCAGUUGUGAAAUCUCCGAGCUUAACUCGGAAAGGUCAACUGAUACUGUGCGACUAGAGUGCGGAAGGGGCAACUGGAAUUCUUGGUGUAGCGGUGAAAUGCGUAGAUAUCAAGAGGAACACCUGCGGCGAAGGCGGGUUGCUGGGCCGACACUGACGCUGAGGCGCGAAAGCUAGGGGAGCGAACGGG